rnacentral:misc_RNA from 1 species
GCAUACCUCUUCAGUUGUUCGUUAAGGCUUCUACUGCCUAAGCGGAAUGUGGGUUUCCUGUGUUGCCUACCUAAUUUAUGGUAUUGUCCUGAUCGAUCAUAGCCCCUUUCUUCUAGUGUCAUGUUAAUGGCACUGGACGAACCUUGAAGCGGUCUCUUUGAUCCAUAAUGUUAACGACCGUGUUGAUUUUGUGGCCCAUUGAGCAUUGCUUGGUCUCAUGGAUACGGAACCUGAUGUAGGCAUGGGGUCUCAUGGGAUCCUUGUUUUGCCCUCAUUCAGCGUUCGCGCUUCUCUAACAACGACUGCCUCGCCCGCCAAGGCUCGUACCAGCGUGGGAGGUCAUGUCUAAGAGGAA